rnacentral:rRNA from 1 species
CUACGGGAUGCAGCAGUGGGGAAUCUUGGACAAUGGGCGCAAGCCUGAUCCAGCCAUGCCGCGUGAGUGAAGAGGGCCUUAGGGUCGUAAAGCUCUUUCGCCAGAGAUGAUAAUGACAGUAUCUGGUAAAGAAACCCCGGCUAACUCCGUGCCAGCAGCCGCGGUAAUACGGGAGGGGGUUAGCGUUGUUCGGAAUUACUGGGCGUAAAGCGCGCGUAGGCGGAUUAGUCAGUCAGAGGUGAAAUCCCAGGGCUCAACCCUGGAACUGCCUUUGAUACUGCUAGUCUUGAGUUCGAGAGAGGUGAGUGGAAUUCCGAGUGUAGAGGUGAAAUUCGUAGAUAUUCGGAGGAACACCAGUGGCGAAGGCGGCUCACUGGCUCGAUACUGACGCUGAGGUGCGAAAGUGUGGGGAGCAAACAGGAUUAGAUACCCUAGUAGUC